GGGUCACGUUUAUGGCCCAAUAUUAGGCCCAUUAAGAUGAUUGAUUCUCCAAGAUUAAGGGAAUUGGGCUUUAACCCACUCUGAUAUGGGCUUAUUAACCCACAAUCAGAUCCCCGUGGGCCCAAUUCCCGCCGGGCGUGGGCCGAAACUUUAUUCAUUAAUUGAAACAGUACGAAUCCGACGUAUCGAGGGUGAUGAGAGAGAUGGAUGGAUCAUCUUCGACUACACAGAAACCUUCGUGGAUGUACAGCGACGACGAAGACGACCUCCGAUCGUCAACCGGACCUCAUCCGGUUGAUCUGGUUCAGCGCCGGCUGGAGGAUGUUAUAGAGGACCCACAGGACGGCGGGGAUGAGGGGCAAGAGGAGGGCGAGGCCCCGGUUGUCGCCGGCGGCGGCGGCCUCCGCAACGUCCGCGACCUGCUGCAGCGCCGCCGCGGAGGGCGUGGAGAGGAACCCGGCGGCAGCCAUUCCGCCGCCGAGCCCCACGCCGACGACGAACCCCUUCUCGCUCGUCAUCCUGUUGAUCUGGUUCAGGGCCGGUUGGAGGAUGUUGUAGAGGACCCAGAGGAUGGCGGGGACGAGGGGCAGAAGAAGAGCCAGCCCCCGGUUGUCGCCCUCGGCGAUGUCGGCGAUCUGCUGUGCCGCGAGGGCCGCGUCGGAUGUUCCCAGGGCGGCGAAGACGGCGCCAGCGAGGGCCGCAGGCACCGAGAGCCGCUCGGCGGGCAUGCGAAGGGCGAGCAGGCUCUUG
rnacentral:lncRNA from 1 species